GGUUAAGCGACUAAGCGUACACGGUGGAUGCCCUGGCAGUCAGAGGCGAUGAAGGACGUGCUAAUCUGCGAUAAGCGUCGGUAAGGUGAUAUGAACCGUUAUAACCGGCGAUUUCCGAAUGGGGAAACCCAGUGUGUUUCGACACACUAUCAUUAACUGAAUCCAUAGGUUAAUGAGGCGAACCGGGGGAACUGAAACAUCUAAGUACCCCGAGGAAAAGAAAUCAACCGAGAUUCCCCCAGUAGCGGCGAGCGAACGGGGAGCAGCCCAGAGCCUGAAUCAGUGUGUGUGUUAGUGGAAGCGUCUGGAAAGGCGCGCGAUACAGGGUGACAGCCCCGUACACAAAAAUGCACAUGCUGUGAGCUCGAUGAGUAGGGCGGGACACGUGGUAUCCUGUCUGAAUAUGGGGGGACCAUCCUCCAAGGCUAAAUACUCCUGACUGACCGAUAGUGAACCAGUACCGUGAGGGAAAGGCGAAAAGAACCCCGGCGAGGGGAGUGAAAAAGAACCUGAAACCGUGUACGUACAAGCAGUGGGAGCACGCUUAGGCGUGUGACUGCGUACCUUUUGUAUAAUGGGUCAGCGACUUAUAUUCUGUAGCAAGGUUAACCGAAUAGGGGAGCCGAAGGGAAACCGAGUCUUAACUGGGCGUUAAGUUGCAGGGUAUAGACCCGAAACCCGGUGAUCUAGCCAUGGGCAGGUUGAAGGUUGGGUAACACUAACUGGAGGACCGAACCGACUAAUGUUGAAAAAUUAGCGGAUGACUUGUGGCUGGGGGUGAAAGGCCAAUCAAACCGGGAGAUAGCUGGUUCUCCCCGAAAGCUAUUUAGGUAGCGCCUCGUGAAUUCAUCUCCGGGGGUAGAGCACUGUUUCGGCAAGGGGGUCAUCCCGACUUACCAACCCGAUGCAAACUGCGAAUACCGGAGAAUGUUAUCACGGGAGACACACGGCGGGUGCUAACGUCCGUCGUGAAGAGGGAAACAACCCAGACCGCCAGCUAAGGUCCCAAAGUCAUGGUUAAGUGGGAAACGAUGUGGGAAGGCCCAGACAGCCAGGAUGUUGGCUUAGAAGCAGCCAUCAUUUAAAGAAAGCGUAAUAGCUCACUGGUCGAGUCGGCCUGCGCGGAAGAUGUAACGGGGCUAAACCAUGCACCGAAGCUGCGGCAGCGACGCUUAUGCGUUGUUGGGUAGGGGAGCGUUCUGUAAGCCUGCGAAGGUGUGCUGUGAGGCAUGCUGGAGGUAUCAGAAGUGCGAAUGCUGACAUAAGUAACGAUAAAGCGGGUGAAAAGCCCGCUCGCCGGAAGACCAAGGGUUCCUGUCCAACGUUAAUCGGGGCAGGGUGAGUCGACCCCUAAGGCGAGGCCGAAAGGCGUAGUCGAUGGGAAACAGGUUAAUAUUCCUGUACUUGGUGUUACUGCGAAGGGGGGACGGAGAAGGCUAUGUUGGCCGGGCGACGGUUGUCCCGGUUUAAGCGUGUAGGCUGGUUUUCCAGGCAAAUCCGGAAAAUCAAGGCUGAGGCGUGAUGACGAGGCACUACGGUGCUGAAGCAACAAAUGCCCUGCUUCCAGGAAAAGCCUCUAAGCAUCAGGUAACAUCAAAUCGUACCCCAAACCGACACAGGUGGUCAGGUAGAGAAUACCAAGGCGCUUGAGAGAACUCGGGUGAAGGAACUAGGCAAAAUGGUGCCGUAACUUCGGGAGAAGGCACGCUGAUAUGUAGGUGAAGCGACUUGCUCGUGGAGCUGAAAUCAGUCGAAGAUACCAGCUGGCUGCAACUGUUUAUUAAAAACACAGCACUGUGCAAACACGAAAGUGGACGUAUACGGUGUGACGCCUGCCCGGUGCCGGAAGGUUAAUUGAUGGGGUUAGCGCAAGCGAAGCUCUUGAUCGAAGCCCCGGUAAACGGCGGCCGUAACUAUAACGGUCCUAAGGUAGCGAAAUUCCUUGUCGGGUAAGUUCCGACCUGCACGAAUGGCGUAAUGAUGGCCAGGCUGUCUCCACCCGAGACUCAGUGAAAUUGAACUCGCUGUGAAGAUGCAGUGUACCCGCGGCAAGACGGAAAGACCCCGUGAACCUUUACUAUAGCUUGACACUGAACAUUGAGCCUUGAUGUGUAGGAUAGGUGGGAGGCUUUGAAGUGUGGACGCCAGUCUGCAUGGAGCCGACCUUGAAAUACCACCCUUUAAUGUUUGAUGUUCUAACGUUGACCCGUAAUCCGGGUUGCGGACAGUGUCUGGUGGGUAGUUUGACUGGGGCGGUCUCCUCCUAAAGAGUAACGGAGGAGCACGAAGGUUGGCUAAUCCUGGUCGGACAUCAGGAGGUUAGUGCAAUGGCAUAAGCCAGCUUGACUGCGAGCGUGACGGCGCGAGCAGGUGCGAAAGCAGGUCAUAGUGAUCCGGUGGUUCUGAAUGGAAGGGCCAUCGCUCAACGGAUAAAAGGUACUCCGGGGAUAACAGGCUGAUACCGCCCAAGAGUUCAUAUCGACGGCGGUGUUUGGCACCUCGAUGUCGGCUCAUCACAUCCUGGGGCUGAAGUAGGUCCCAAGGGUAUGGCUGUUCGCCAUUUAAAGUGGUACGCGAGCUGGGUUUAGAACGUCGUGAGACAGUUCGGUCCCUAUCUGCCGUGGGCGCUGGAGAACUGAGGGGGGCUGCUCCUAGUACG
rnacentral:rRNA from 1 species